CCUACGGGAGGCUGCAGUGGGGAAUAUUGCACAAUGGGCGCAACCCUGAUGCAGCGACGCCGCGUGAGUGAAGAAGGAUUUCGGUAUGUAAAGCUCUAUUAGUAGAGAAGAAAAUGACGGUACGUGAUUAUUAUGGCCCGGCUAACUUCGAGCCAGCAGCCGCGGUAAUACGUAGGGGGCACGCGUUAUCCGGAUUUACUGGGUGUAAAGGGAGCGUAGACGGUUGCGCAAGUCUGAAGUGAAAUGCCGGGGCUUAACCGGGGAACUGCAUUGGAAACUGGGCAGCUAGAGUGCAGGAGAGGUAAGUGGAAUUCCUAGUGUAGCGGUGAAAUGCGUAGAUAUUAGGAGGAACACCAGUGGCGAAGGCGGCUUACUGGACUGUAACUGACGUUGAGGCUCGAAAGCGUGGGGAGCAAACAGGAUUAGAUACCCUAGUAGUC
rnacentral:rRNA from 1 species